GAGCGCGACAACGGCGACGGCGCGAAACAGUAAUGAAAAGUUUAGCAUAAAUUGAAAAAGCAAAUUAAUUAAGACACGCAGGUUUAAGAACUUAGCAAGAAAAUUGUCCCGAUUCAGUUGGAAACCUCUCAAUAUAUUAUUAACUCUAUAAAGGGUGUGCGGUAGCGCGAUUAAAAGACGGGACAACAGAAGACGCACAAGGAGCUGUGUGUGUCAUAAUGUUUCUCAUUAGUGACAAGCUCUAUGAGGCUGGUCGUCCAACGGUCCAACUGACUCAGCACGAUGGAAAGCGAUUGUCUCUGAACACUGUACUGCGGGCACUGGCAUAGAACAUGACUAAAGGCGAACAUGGCGAGGCUGUGAAGCGCUCAUUGUGUUUAGAAAACACUUUGAACAAAGGUCUCCGUAUUAAAAAGCAGGUGACGGUGCUUUCAAAAAAGCGUCGCGCAAUUUUCCACGUGUUGCACAGAAUCGGAUGCUGCUCUACCUAUCGAUGGCACUAAAAUGCGACCUGCGGCAUAGAACAUUCGGUGUACACUCGCCUCAGCUGUCUGCAUGUUGACUGUACAACCUGGCGUCUGUGAGCAUUAAGCGCUUUUGACAGAGUAUUCAACCUCGUUUUGAAUGACUCUUAAUAUCACUUUGCGGUGAUGAGAAAUGCCUGAACUACGAAGCCCUGAUGUGUGCAACUAAUGCAGAUUCACUUUACCCCAGCUGUGUCAUGCGUUGUGGUCAAUUUCAAUACCUUCAUGUUUCAUUUUUUGUUUUCUUUUCUUGCUAGCGAGUGCUUGUUCUCUUCUUUCGAAUGAAACGGGUCAAUAUAUGUUCGUGUUGCUUCACUGUAGUUGCCUCUGCUUCGAAAAUGAUUUCAAUGCAGCAAGUGGUUUACAAGAAUUACUUAAUGCCAUGCUUUGUAUUUGUUUUCGAACUGUAAAUAUUGUGUCAGCGUACUCUUCUAACUAAUUAAAAAGUGCUGCAUUCGCUAUUCAGACUUUGGGCACUACAACAAGCGAUACAACAUGUGGUUUAAUUUUCUAUUGGAUUGGCAGGGUGAUACUAGUAAAAAUGGUGGCAACACUAAAAAAUAACAUAAAAUAUAAAAGCAAUAUGCUCUUGAUUGACCAGGUAGGCAAAUUUUCAGCUAUGGCAUCUUCCAAUAUCUCACUCGCUGCUUCUGUGAAAUCAUUGAUAUGCUCUGCUUGUUGAACAAUGGAACAUGUGAAAUCCAUGCUACGCUGACAGUGGUAAGACGCAAGCAUAAAAGCAAUCAAUCCUUAAUUAUUGCUGGAGUCCUAUAUGUGCUAGUUUUUCUCAAGGUCAUCGUGCUGGUUUGCAAGCUGUACAGUUGCUGGCUUCUCAUGUAGCCGCACCUGUACAAACGAUGCAUUGCUCCCUCAACCUACUAUCAAAAUACAUGCCAUGUAAAUGAGGCAAGUGUGUGCAUAAAGAAUGUUCAUUCAUGGGCCAACAAAUGAAGCCAUUAGCGGCCGGGGUGUUGUAAUAAAAGCAGCAUCUUGGCGAUGAGCUCCACUUCAUAGGCAAGCUUGUUGAUGCUCAUCCAUGGCAAACAAUUGGCGCGUAAGGAGACAAUGUUGUCCCAGACAGCCGUGAAAUGCAUUGCGAUUUCCUUGCGCACACUGACACCGUAGAAGUAACUAUCUGGGACAGCAGAAGCGGCAGAUCGCACGCACACACUUCAGUCAUGCCUGCAGUGGAAGCAGGCGUCUCCAGCACGAGGCCCGCCUGCGGUUUCAACGGCCGCCGCUACGCGGCUUUCGGUGGCGCCCCUGUAGGCACUGCUCGUGGCGUAUAUCAUGCAUUGUUUCAGUUUUGACAAAGCGUUACCAGGUGGACCGCCAUAUGUUUGGCAGCAGCAUAGGCCACAAGGAAAAUGUCAUGACAUUUGACAUUCUUAACUCUGGCGGAGAAACGCACGUUGCCAAUCUGUUAAGACCUGGUCCAGUGUACUGAUCAAGCUGUGCGAGAUGGUGCCACCUUCAUGAAAGCAGUGUCUUGCUAGCUGUGCUGCUUACAGCAGCGCAGUGCUAGCUGCUGUAAGAAAAUUAUUAAGAAAUAUGUGCUGAUCCCAAAGGCUGUCUAACACAGUGUCUCAAAGCAUUAGCUGCCACGAAUGAAUAAUACGAGAAACUGGGACAUCUGCAUAUAACCUCUUAAUGCAGCUCUAAAAAUUUCAACCUUUGUACUGUUUUCUCUGGCUUUUAUCGCUACGUUGAAGAACAAGUGAUUAUGAGAUUAAGAAGUUUGCAGGGACGACAUGGCCACAAUUAGUACAUGACCGGGGUUGUUGGAGAAGUAUGGGAGAAGCCUUUGCCCCGCAGUGGGCGUAACCAGGCUGAUGAUGAUGAUGACGAUGAAGAACAAGGCUUUAAUGAGUCGUGCUGCAUGUAUUUCCCAAAAUCAGUACGUUGGGAAUUUGGCUCUCCUUCAACCAAUGCUGUAAAUUUAUGCAUAUUCUACAGUCGCUUUAAAAAUGCUUGCUUUCUUUUUCUCCAUGGCACUCUUUCUAUUAAGGAAACCUAAGUUCCAUCUUGCUCAAGUGCUGAUGGAAAACAAAGAAGUGUGUAUUGAGGCAGGGAUGCAUGUUGUGCAUAAAACACGUGAAAACCAUGUGAACAAGAAGAAUGGAAACCGAGGGCCUGAUUUUUAUUAGUCUUAUCAUAAGAAGCCAACAAACAAGGACACCCAGGACAGCAUAGUGGAAAUUACUUGUACUUGUUAAUUAAUGAAUUUAAAUGAUAAAAGAAAUGAAAGUGGAUGAGAAAACAACUGGCCGCAGGUGGGGCAUGAACCCACAUCUUUGCAUUGUGUAUGCAAUGCUCUUAGCAAUUGAGCUACCGCGGUGCUGUUUUCCCAUCCACUUUAUGGGGCAUUUUAUGUUUAUCUACUAGCAUUAAACCUGGGAGUGUUAGCCAGCACCAUACUUCACGGCCUUCCUUGACAGCAAAUGUGGAACGUCCCUUUUUGUCAUUGGUGUCAUGUGUACGUAAUCUUUUUGGGUGAACGCAACUGGUUAGUAAACCCACACAUGCUACCUGAAGUCUUCAAUGCUGCCGGAUUCGAGGCUUCGGUAUGUAAUGAAUGAGAAGAAAGGAAACCAAGGGCCCAAUUUUUAUUAGUCAUGUCAUAAUAAGCCAACAAACAAAGACACCAAGGACAGCAUAGGAGAAAUUAGAUGUACUUAUUAAUUGAAUUUAAAAAAUGAUAAAUUAAUGGAAAUGAGCAUGGAUGAAAAAACAGCUGGCUGCAGAUGGGGCACGAACCCAUGUCUUCCCAUUACGUGUUCUUACAGUCAAGUUGUUUGCACCUUUGCUGCAUGUCUUUUACAAGUGGACAGUGCUGUUAGUGCUGGCGUCCCCAGUUGGAACUAGUUUAAUGAGCCACUUCUUCAUUACCAGGAUGUUUUCCAUGGAUUAUGACUUUGCUGCUACAAGAAAAACAAUCUUGGGACUACCUAUUCAAAAACUUGGCCUGGACUUAAUGGGUAGAUACCUCUUAUUAUUUAAUUCGAGGCAUCUACUCUGGGAUUUAGCCACAGGGAUGUUAGCUCUGUCGUCCACGAAUUUAUUGAGAUUGUCUAUCCAGAUGCCCAGUUAAAUAUUUAUAUCUUUCGCUUUUGUUGUAGUUUUCAAUUAUCAAAAAUUAUUACUGCUUUUAUUGUUUUCAUUCCAACACGUAAUUCUGCCUUUCAACAGCACUUGCUCUAUAUAUGUCCUCAACAUUUAUUCCUAGUUGAUUGUAACUUGGAAUAAUCCACCACUUUGGAGCAGUGUCAUUUACCUGGUUGAGCGCACUUCAUUUAAAAGAUCUCUGAAAAACUCAAUCGAAGUCUUCACAUUCUCGCUCUCAGAGACACCUGCCACUGAGGCACCUUAGAUUUCUUCUUGGUGUAGUAUCUCUUUGUCCAAUUCAUACCAUCUUUUGUUAUCCUGAGUGCUCGUGGCACAUAUCUACAGUGGAGGGUUGGUUAUUUCUGAAAGGAUACGUUUGGAAUUGCUGUAAUUUUCAUCUCCCUCAACCCUGCUGUUCAUGCCCAUUAUUGGAGAUUAUGUACCUUAAAUUCAUUGUCAUCUUCAUCACUGGGACAGUUGUGAUCACUCUCAGCUUUCAGUGGAAGACAUGUCGUCAGCUGUAGUGAUGCGUAGAAAGAAUGUGCAUCCCAUUGAAAUGGGCACGACACCGUGCAAUUAGUUCAAACUAAUUGCACGGUGUCAUGCUCAGCUUUGUGUCUGUGCUCACAAGUCAACAAUGCGCACGAGCGUCAUGCACAGCCACACACGCAGUGUUGCCUCGCAGAAGUAGAAUCCAUAAAACAGAGGAUCCAAAUCACCACCAACAUCAUCAAAAUGGAUCUCAAUGGUCUGCCUGGUCUCAUCAUUCAACCAGCACUGCUUAUACCACGUCCUCGUUCUAUUUGUCUACUCCUCGCGUGUUCCAAUUCCACCUUACCACGGGUGUACACAAGAAGGCGAAGUGCUCGAUGUCACGACUUUAUGACACGGUGGAAAUCCAAGCAUUCUGCUGCUAAACUCGCAUUCAGAUAGAUUUAAAAUGGAAGGGAUUAAUGUUGAAGUGUGCGAGAACAAAACAUAAUUUUAUUUUGCGGUCAGUCUCAUCUCCUAUCAACAACAGAAAAGCAUGAAGUUGCUUGUGUUCAACUCCAGUCGCCUCAGUGCAUGGUCGUUUCUGGUGCAGUUUAUUUGCUGGAAAUGACCAUCUAAAGUUGCGAUAGAAAUUGCUGUUUAUGGAGGACAGAGAGAAAGCGAAACUAGCUCAGAAUUUAUGCAAGUAAGUUUGCAAUGCAGAAUCAUGGAUGUGAAAAAGACUAGUAAGGUUGGCAAUUACUCGCGCAUUCCAUUCCUGUAUUUGGGGCCUAUUGGAAAUCGGUGCACAUGCAUAUGCACUAGUUUUUCUAAUCAAAUUAUUGCUUUGUGAUGUGGUAGAGUGAAGUCUGCAUGCGACUCUGGCCUAACACAAUGAAGAAAAAAUAUGUGCAGAAACCAUCGACAAGGAUUGGCAGUGUAAGCACAUAGCCAAAUGCUUAAAUAAAACUAUUCACUUUAUUAAAGAAAUGAUGCGUUUGAAGGCACAUAUUUACUACAGUGAAAAUACUUAGGUAGCAUUUAUUGUUUUAUUGCAUAAUUCUGUAUAGAACAAAGCAGUUAAUGAGCCCAUCUGUAGAGGUCGUAUAGGUGGCUAUAGGGAAACAGCGAUGGCCAGUAGACACUAUGGCAAUUUGAGUGUGUGACUAAAGUAUGCAGACACCUUCUGACAGGGAGGUUAUGAACAUGGCACAACAUUAUUGAAUGACAACAGAUGGGCACCUUUAUCAAUGUUUGCUUUAGCCCAAUGCAUCCAACAAAACUUCUGAAAUUGUGCCAGUACUUUCUGGUGUACCUUAGGGUUCCUUUUUGGCCCCUAUCCUGUUCCUUUUAUUCAUAAACGACAUAACUAGUCAGGUUGAUUCCAAGAUUAUGUUAUUUGCAGACAACUGGGUCCUGUAUAGAGAAGUAGUAAACUGACAAGAUCAAAUUAGUCUUAACAAGGAUUUUGCUUUGAUAGCCCAAUGGUGUGAAAACUGGCAAAUGGCUGUCGACUUUGAUUAAAUAGUUUCAAUGCCAGUAACAAAAAAGAAAUCCAAACUUAUUUUUACAUAUGGCUGUAGUAGUACCAUCCUUAACACUGUCACUCAGUAUAAGUACUUGUGCGUCGUCAUAUCAUCAGACUUAGGAUGGUCAGCUCAUGUAGAGCUCGUGGCAAACAAAGCGAUUCGAAAGCUAAUAUUCUUAAAGCAGGCUCUGCGAUACUCUAUGAAGGAAGCCAAGCUCUAGGCCUAUGUGACAAUCAUGCAUCCUAUCUUAGAAUAUGCGAACGUGGCGUGGUUUCCCUUUGCCCAAAAUAAUAUAGCUACUCUUGAGGCUGUCCAGCGCAAAGCUGUGCGCUUUAUCUAUAACAAAUAUAAGCGCACCAACUCGCCUACUCGGAUGCUGUUCGAGAUCGGCUGGCCUUCAUAUACUAAGCAGUCCUGCAAUGCUGUACCGACUCAAAUUUUUUUAUCUCAUACUGCAUCAAGUGGAUUCCGACACCUACAUAUCCUAUAACGCAUCCAGAGAAACCCAUCGUAAGCAUCACCUUACACUCCAAGAAUAUUCUUGCGCUAACAAUACAUUUAGUUUUUCGUUCUUCCCACGAGCUGUUCGUGACUGGAAUGCUUUAGCCCAGACGAUAGUCGCACAGCCCACUGUUGACAAAUUUGUUGAACCUGCUAGCCAAACUGUGCUGUCAGUAACGAGUAAGUGAUGUUAUCACUAUUGUGUAUAUCAUUGUUUUACUUACCAGGUAUAUUGGAAUUCUGUGAUGUGAAAUUGUAGAUAUCAAUGGUAUAUCUCAUAUGCCUGUCCUUUCCUAUUUAUUUUUUUGCGGAACAUCAUAUGUAAUUGAAAUAAUUGAAAAUUGUGCAUUAUCUUUUUGCCAUACUCAUUGCUGUUAACAUAGGUCCAUUGUCCUUAACAUUUUCUAGGUACCUUUUUGUAUACUUAUGUAAAUGCCUGUCCCACAAUGUCUACAGAGCCUUCUAACCCACUCCUGUAAAAAUCUCUGAUGGGACUGACAGUAUCACAAAAUAAAAUAAAUAAAUAAAAAGAGCUCUGGUCAUGGCCACGGAUGUCUUGCAAAGAGCACAUGCGCUCUUACAUUCAAGCACAUCAGUGCCCACUCAGGUCAGGAGCUACACACAUGUGCAUCAAAAUGAGCUGCGAUUUUUUUGUAGAUGGAGAGUCGUAGCCUAUGCUACUGAAAAGUUUCCACCAGUCACUAGGCUGUGUGUUAUGGCACUCCCGUUGGCAUCAUAGGUGCGGACUGCGAGGAGGGGUGAUGCCCCCUCCCCUUUAAAGUGUCAGUACCAGAUCAUUCUGUUACCCACAUCAUUUGAGGUCUCUUUUGAGUUGCCUCCAUCUUUUCACUUAUCUAUUGCGGCUAAAAGCUUACUGCAUCAUUGUUGCAGCGGACUCUGUUAAUGUUUUCGCUUUAUUUCUGCAAAUCCUGACAAUUGGAGGACAAGCACAUUAAAGCACCAGUGGCGGCUACCUCAUCUGUAUUUUUUCACUUCAACAUUUUUUUUUUCUAAUUUCCACUGCGAACACCAAGCACAGACACAUGUAAAUAUACAGGGUGUCCCAACUACCAUGCACUAAGAUAUAAAAUUAUGCAAAUGCCACAUAGCUUCAUUACAUAAUUAGUCUUAAUUAAUUCAUAAACUUUUCUAAUCUUAUAAUUAGAUGAAAAUUUUCAAGGAAAACAUUGUAGAGGAAUAUGAAAAAAAUCACCACCCAAGCACUCCAUACGGGUAGUUAACCAGCGAAGCCUGGUGCUUAUCACUCGGUUAAUCCUGACAGUUCAUUAAAUGACGGCUUGGUAGGCUGCCAGAUCUUCGGUACGCAGUUGCUGCUUUCACUCGGCUGCACGAGCCUGUUCCUGUGCCCAUGCUGCAGCAUUGGCACGAUGUAGACAAGCUCGUUCCCAGUUCUGCUCAUUUCUCUGCAAGUUGGAUGGUCUCAUAUUUGUUUGCACAGCACCUUUGUUGCACACAGCAGGGCACUGCAGACUCAUCAGUCUGCAACUGUGGCCUCUCACCCUCAGAAGCAAUCACAUCAAUGGCAUGAAUAAAUAAUUCAAACUGUGCCCAGCACUUCCCUUCACCAGCAUGAAAUCAGCAAUGAACAGACUUUGUACCUUAUGCACAAGAAGCAAUAAUUAACUGUUGCAAUUCCACUUCUAAAAAUCAUGUCUUUCAGUGCCACUAUUUUACGUUGUUGUAGAAGUCGAACCUCGAUACUAUACUGAAGAUGAGUAUAAUGAACAAGUGAAGAAAAUGGUUGAUAUCACAUGUAAUAAAUAUUGGAUAUGACAAAAAUAAUUUUGUGCUAGACGCAACUUCAUUAUAAUGAAGUUUGGUUUUACUGCUGAGGCACAAUUUUUCUGGGGCUGUAAAAAGAAACAUUCACACUGCAAACGUUUCGCAAUCUUAUGUUAGUGUACACACUACAUUGAAGAUAAACAGAACCACUUCAAUGUUAUCUUCUCUUAAUUGUUUUUGCACUGGGGCUGCUCUCUGUCCAACUUUGUGGUUAGGUUUUGACUCCUGAGAUUCCACCAGUACUUUCGUAAUGAGGACAAAAAACUAAGAUGUCAGCUGAAUUUCACUCUCUCAAUCUAAAAGUGUUCUGUUGCGUGCAUAACUGUGUCAAGUAAAUAAUGCAGAUGAUGAAAGCUGCGGCACUCCAUGAGCGGGCAGUGUGUAUAACCAUGCUUUCUUCCAGCUGACUAUCAUAUAUGCUGCACUUCCUCACAAACCUGGAGCGCAUUUUUUGGUGGGUUUUGUGUGUCGUGGUAAUGACAUACAACAUACAGCAAUUUUGCGCUAGAGUGCAAUAGUAUUCACAUUUUUAUUAUCUUUUACGCUAUUUUUUGCCUGCUUCUUUUGUACGACUGCUGUUAUAACCAUAUCAGGCCACAUGUCUACACAAAUACAUAACCUCACUACAAGUCUGUGCUGUUGUCGACAUGCUUGUGUCUAUCUUUCUGUGUCAUUUCAUGCUCUGUGUUACUGCAAGCACAAAGCUAGUGGGAAGGAUCAGUGAUGCAAGUUAAACUUCCAGUCAACAAUUAAAUUUGCAACCAUUAAUGGUGACCCUCAAUUGCAUUUGCACUGCAGUUUUUCUAUACAUUGUUGAUUCGAUUUGAUUUGAUUGAAGAGGUUUAACAUUCCAGAGCAACACAAGGGCUAUACUAGACAUCCAGCUGGUGGAAGACUCUGAAUUAAUCUUGACCACCUGUGGCUGUUCAACACACACCUGAAGCUUGAGAAAUUAGUUUUCCUGUGUUACAUCUGCAUUGGAAUAUGGUCGCUGGUGCCGGAUAUCGGUUUUAGCUGCAAUCUCAUGCUCAGCAGAAUGCCAUAGCCACUGCCAUAGCCAAAGCCAGUGUGGUAGGUCGAGUCUUUCCCAGUUAAAGCAGUUUAACGCCCUUCAUUCAUUCUUUCAUUGCGAAUUCACAUUACUUCUGUUUCAGGCCAGCUCCACCCACUUUUAACCGAAUGGGCGAUUGAGUCAGGGUUAUGGAGUAGUGAAACUGCAGUCGCCCAGCUACCUCUUUGGUGUUAUUAAUAAGGAUCAAAAGGGACAUGCCAUUGAUCCACACGCAUACCUUUUCUGACAAUAUCUAAUUGACAAUGGCUGCUUUUACAUCUUGCAUAUGCAGACAAUUUAAGCAGGGUUUUAAAUAUCACCUCCACUAUGAGAUAUAAUCAUCAUCAUCAUUCUAUUUAUAUGUUCACUGCGGGACGAAGGCCCCUCCCUCCCAGCCAUCUCCAAUUACCCUGGUCUUGCGCUAGCCGAUUCCAACUUACGCCUAGCUUCUGCCACCCUCGACUGCGCCUCCCUUCCCUUGGCACCCAUUCUGUAACUCUAAUAGUCCACCGGUUAUCUACUCUAUGCAUUACAUGGCCUGCCCAGCUCGCCUCCAACAUUACACAGAGGACGGUGACCUCUUCCCGCACACCAUGCUUUGCUUCAGGCCGGGACUUUCUGCGCAAGAUGCGUUCCUAAUCCUAAGGGAAGAAGUUCUCAAGGGCAUCCCGAAGGGAGGAGAACACCUCCUGCUCGCACUCGACCUAAAAGGGGCCUUCGAUAACAUCUCUCACAAGGCCAUUCUCAAGGCACUGAACGACAUCAGCUGCGGGGAGCGCAUCUUUAAUUACGUUAAAUCGUUCCCGACAGGCCGGACAGCAACCAUUGGAAUAGGCCAGACUCAAUCGGAUACAAUCGACGUGCCGAACAAAGGAGCACCGCAAGGGGCGAUAAUCUCCCCGAUUCUCUUCAACGUCGCGAUGCUGGCGCUGACCAAAGAGCUGCGCAAGAUCCCCGACCUAGGUUAUGCCCUGUACGCAGACGACAUCACGCUCUGGGCCACCAAGGGCUCCCUAGCACGAAAAGAGGCGACCCUUCAAGAGGCCGCGACAGCCGUGGAGAGAUUUGCGGCAGCGAGAGGGAUGCGUUGUGCGCCCGAAAAGUCCGAGGUGAUCCGGGUGCAUGGAGGAGGAAUCUACAAGUCCCCCGGCCCUAUCGAUCUCUAUCUUGAGGGCCAGAAGAUCACGGAAGGCAAUACGGCUAGGAUUCUGGGUUUUUGGAUCCAGAGCAACCUGAAAGCCUCCCACACCAUCCAAACCCUAAGGUGUGCCACUGGUUGCCAACCAGAUCUCACGGAUUGUAAAACGAAUUACAAGAAGCCGCAAGGGCAUGCGAGAAGAGGACACGCUUCGCCUCGUCCAGGCUCUGGUGAUCAGCAGAAUAACGUAUAGCAUGCCGUAUCACUAUCACUCGCUAAACAAACGCGACCAAGAACAAGUCGAUGCCAUCAUCAUAGGCGCGUACAAAACAGCCCUGGGUCUCCCUGUCACCACCUCAAACGAGAAGUUAGCGGCCCUCAGGAUCCACAACACCUUCGCUGAGCUGUUGGACGCGGUUAUGGCUUCGCAAAAGACCAGACUACAGAACACGGCGGGGGCAGAGCCAUCCUCCACCAGACCGGAACGGCAACGGAGCUCCGUGCCCGCGAUGGGCAACGAUCACUCCCGCCUGUGGUCAGAGGCAAGAUCAAGGCGAACCCGAUACCGAAGCACAUGAGUCAUGAACUCCAUGAAGGACGACGCAAGGUUCGCGUCGACAGACAGCGCCGACAAUUCAAGGGUGACUCGUACGUAACGUACGUGGACGUGGCGGCGUACCCUGUAGGGGACCUUUUCGCGGUAGCCGCCGUGAACAGGAGAGACAACUCCGUGAACCUCGCGGCCUCCGUAAGGGCAGAGACCCCAGCUGCGGCUGAGACCAUAGCCACGGCGCUGGUGAUAAAGCAAGAAGACAGGGUAGGCAGGGAAGUCCAUGUCGUUACCGACUCGCAACAGGCCUGCCGUAACUUUACCAACGGAUGAACACCGCUGCUGGCGGCUCAGAUUCUAGGCCCGAGGCUGCAAGAAUACCAUCAAAUCACAUGGACGCCGGGCCACGCGGGUCUGGAGGGGAACGAAAGGGCGAACGCCCUAGCUCGAGCGCUAAUCAACCGAGCGGGGCAAGACCAAUCGUCUCAUCAAUCCCCACCCUUUACCUUCAUGCCCCUGCCAUCCAAUUACUGCGACCGACUCGAGAUCCAAUGACUCAACCGCAGGAUUUAUCCUCCGCCUCACAGAAAGCUCAGCACUGAAGAUGCCGUAGCUAUCCGACUUAUUCAGACCAACACAUUUCCAAACCUACACAGAUACAGUAAAAUGUUUCCACAUACAUAUUGCGGCAUCUGCCCCUGGUGCAGCGACACACGCCCUACACUCUUUCACAUCUCGUGGGGAUGCGGGGGCAAACCUCAACACUUAAAGACGCCUAGCACGUCAUUUGGGCGGUGGGAGGUACAGCUGACCGGCGGUACCCUGGCGGGACAAGAAGCUCUCAUCCAGCAAGUACGUCGAGCAGCCAUGGCCAGUGGAGUCCUGCAAUGAGGACACCACCCACGCGACCUCAAGAGCAACCACCUCGAUGGUCCGAAUAAAUUUUUCUCUCUCUCUCUCUCUUAAUGUCAGCUAGAAUAUUGGCUAUCCCUGUUUGCUCUCUCAUCCACACCGCUCUCUUCCUAUCUCUUAAUGUUACGCCUAACAUUUUUCAUUCCAUUGCUCUUUGUGCUGUCCUCAACUUGUUCUUGAGCUUCUUUGUUAAUAUGAAAGGGACCCUGAAACGAUUUUGACCAUGUUCUACAAACGUACUGAGUCGUUAGAGUAGGUCCUUCUGAUCAUUAAUUGACACAUCUAAGUGCUCCACGUAAAGCGUGAAAUUUAUUACAAGGUUUUAAAAAUGCACAUCGCUGCCGAUUGCAGCACACUGCUUGGCGGAAUAUUAAGCCGCCCCUACCCAUAUGACGGAAAUCACCCAUAUGACGUCAGUGGGGCGAGCUAUCCGAUUGGCAGACCAGGCUGCGUAAUCGACAAUUUUUCCAACUUUAUGGUAAACAAAUGAUGUUCGUAAUAGUUGGAAUGUUAGUUAACUUGUUUUUAUAAAAAGAAAGUAACAGAAAGAGAAUGCACAAGAACAAUAUUUCAGUACACUUAAGCACAUCCGGCACAAAGCAAGUGUCGUCUGCUUGUGUUACAACGUGCUCCGUUCUUGACGAGAGCUCCGCCCUCAGUGUCGGUUUGUCAUUUCGCGAGUGCUAUGGUUCGACUUUGUUGCGUUGUGGACUGCAAACAUAGCGACUGGCAAUAUGUCCAGCUGCGACAUCGUGUCUCUCUGCAAGCCAGUAGACGAGCGGACUGGCUGCAGCGCAUCGGACUGCCGCUAUCUGAUCAGCGCCAGGAUUUGCGCGAUUGCGGUCGUCACUAUACAUGGGAAGAUUACUAACGCAAUAGCGUUUCACGAGUCCGGUAUUAGGGCAAGCGCAAGGGGACAGAGCCUGGCCGCUUGACUGUGCCGUUUAACGGGUGAGCAGAAGCGCAAAUGUGAACGGUAUGCACGGUGCUGCCACCUGGUGGCAUAGAGCUCAACCACACACAGCAGCAGUAACAAAACGUAUUCGUCUUUGCUGGUGGUGUAAAUUUUUCGCAGGAGUGUAAUCAUCAACCACAUUGUUUUUGUAGAUGUUUAAAAUGUUUUCCACUUGGUUAGAGCAACAUUAGCUCUUUGUUUGGCUGGUUAAGCUCUGCGUCAACAAGUGGCUGGACUGUGCAGACCGAUCAGGCCGCUCACAUACGUCUACGCUAAAGUUCCUUCAUCAGCUUGAGUUUAUGCCUACAGCCAUCUGCCGAAACACUCAGCUUGCCUGUGGUUACUGGAAUACCAGACACUCUCCAGGAAUACCAGAAUACUCUACCAGGCUCUCGCUUGGGGUCGACGGCCAAGCGGCCAGCGGAGAGGUUUCGCGCGGGCGGGGGUGGGCUCCAAAACAACCGGAAGUGGACGAUGUGACGUAGCAUCGUGACGCAGAACCAAUGAAGCCGGAGCUUAGUGCCGAACGCUCGGCGAACGAGUUGAGGAGGAAAAGCAUGGCUAGGGAGGAGGGUAACUUGUAAUAGCUUGUAGCUCCAUUAAUACGUAACGCUUCACUUAAAUUGUGGUGCGAAUGUUCUACUUAAGCUGUACCCUACGCGUCUACAAAAUUUGUCCGAACCGUUUCAGGGGCCCUCGAAAGUUUCUGCCCCAUAUGUUAUCACUGGUAGAAAGCAAUGAUUGUACUCUUUUCUUUUCAACAACAAUGGUAAACUCUGUUACGAUCGGCCAGCGGGGAAAGCAACCUCCCAGCCUCUCUCGCCUUACUGUGACGAAUUGCUUCGCGAGGCUCACAUGUAGCCUCGCACAGAACAGUAGCAACACCAAGGCGUCUCACCUUUGACGGCUACGGGGUUGAUGGAUAGCACUUGGUUGCCAACUGACGCUGAGACCAAGGAACUCCUGUGAAAGUGCGUUAUAUGCCACUUCGUUACGGUUGCUACUGGCCCAUACCAGGAGCCAAGACGCACAAAUGGAAUCAAGCGUGACACCCCCGUUUUCAAGCAUCCCCUUCUCUGGGCUAGUGUGCUCUAAUGUUUGCUCCCCAGAAAGAUGUAGUCUGUUCAGACCUGUAGCUAGUCUAGUAUGAGGACCCCCUUGUUCUAUGUAAAUAAGUCUGCCUUUUCACUGCCUUUUCAUUUGUAAAUAAACUUCCUGUUCCAUUUCGCA